UCCUACGGGAGCCGGACUUCAUCUCCGACUUUAACUGCAGGUAGACUUCAUCCGGACUCCUACGGGAGUCGGACUUCAUCCCCGACUUCAACUGCAGGAAGACUUCAUCCGGACUCCUACGGGAGCCGGACUUCGCCCCUGACUCCAACUGCAGGUAGACUUCGUCCGGGCUCCCACGGGAGCCAGACUUUCAUCCUAAAUUUCUGUUGCUGGU
rnacentral:lncRNA from 1 species